UGCGUAGGCGGUUCUUUGUGUCCGCUGUGAAAGCCCCGGGCUUAACCUGGGAAUUGCAGUGGAAACUAGAGGACUCAGAAUCUGGCAGAGGGGGGUGGAAUGCCACGUGUAGCAGUGAAAUGCGUAGAGAUGUGGCGGAACACCGAUGGCGAAGGCAGCCCCCUGGGCUGAGAUUGACGCUCAGGCACGAAAGCGUGGGGAGCAAACAGGAUUAGAUACCCUGGUAGUCCACGCCCUAAACGAUGAUCACUAGGUGUUGGGGAAGCGAUUUCCUAGUACCGCAGCUAACGCGUGAAGUGAUCCGCCUGGGGAGUACGGUCGCAAGAUUAAA
rnacentral:rRNA from 1 species